AAAAGAGACCCUAAGAACCGAAGAGCAAAAAUGAUAUAUUUCUUUGUGCAAACCUGCUUGGAAAAAAAAAAAACUUCUCAGUUUUCUGCAAUGUUCUCAGAGAGAUGGAAAACCUUGCCUGUAAAGAAAAAGGGGAAUUAGAAGACAUGGCAACAGUGGAUGGGAUUCACUAUGAACAAGAAGUGGAAACCUAGAUCAGUCUAAAAGAGGAAGCCAAAAAGGUAUCAAAGGCAUCAAAGAAUCCCCGUGCUCCCUAAAGGCCUCUCCUGGCCUUCUGUCCUGAGCGCAGUUCCCAUCCCUGCUUAUCCACUGGUGGAGUUGCAAAGAAGCUGGGAGAGAUGCAGACUGACCCUGCUGUGGAUGAUGAGAAGCCCCAGGAGAGGAAGGAUGCAGAGCAGAAGGAAAAAUACAAACAGAAUGCUGCAGCCUUCAGAGCCAAAGGCAAGUCUGAUGUGAUGAAAGAGGAAGCUGUCAGAAGUGAGGGUCUGGGAGAGGGAAAGAAGGGGGAAAUGAUGUAUACUAUAUAUUAAGGCUGAAAGAGCAAGAAAAAGAAAGAAGGAAGAGGAAGAC
rnacentral:lncRNA from 1 species